CUACAUCUACUGAUAGACCCAGAAUUGUUUGUGGCUGUUCUUGUUGUCUGCACUAGGAUGUAGAGGAAACUGCUCCUAGUGCUUUCUCUCUUGGUGGUUCAGAUUAAUGUAGGGAAUUAUAC